CCGCCUGGGAAGUACGUACGCAAGUAUGAAACUUAAAGGAAUUGGCGGGGGAGCACCACGAGGGGUGAAGCCUGCGGUUCAAUUGGAGUNNNCGCCAGAAAUCUUACCUGGGGAGACAGCAGAAUGAAGGUCAAGCUGAAGACUUUACCAGACACGCUGAGAGGUGGUGCAUGGCCGUCGCCAGCUCGUGCCGUGAGAUGUCCUGUUAAGUCAGGUAACGAGCGAGACCCCUGCGUCUAGUUGCUACCAUUACUCUCUGGAGCAGUGGAGCGAAUUAGACGGACCGCCACAGUUAAUGUGGAGGAAGGAAGGGGCCACGGCAGGUCAGUAUGCCCCGAAACCCUAGGGC
rnacentral:rRNA from 1 species